rnacentral:ncRNA from 31 species
AUAUUGACAAGUUUCAAGGGAAUCGUGGUGAAAAUCCACGGCUGUGCCGCAACUGUUAUAGUCAGACUACUUGAUACUUGCAUGUACCUUCGAGCAAAGGAAAGAUAACACA